GGCGCUCUGGCCGAGUGGUCUAAGGCGUUAGACUUGAAUUCUAAUUCAGUAAUCUAAUCUCUUCGGAGGCAUGUGUUCGAACCACAUGGGCGUCG
rfam:Aureobasidium pullulans var. melanogenum CBS 110374 unplaced genomic scaffold scaffold_6, whole genome shotgun sequence.